rnacentral:rRNA from 1 species
GGGUGUUUGGUGGAUGCCUUGGCGAAAGCCAGCGAUGAAGGACGUGGCUAACUGCGAUAAGCCCCGGGGAGUCGUUAACAGACUUUGAUCCGGGGAUUUCCGAAUGGGGCAACCCCUGAAGGUAAACCCUUCAGAUUCCUGUCUGAAUACAUAGGGCAGGAAGGCGAACCAGGAGAAUUGAACCAUCUCAGUAUCCUGAGGAAGAGAAAACGAAGUGAUUCCCCCAGUAGCGGCGAGCGAACAGGGAUGAGCCUAAACCUAACAGGCGUAAUAGUCUGGACGACGUUGUUUGUUAGGGGUUGUGGGAGGAAGUUGGGUCGGGGUCCAGCCCGGCCGCCGAGUUACAAACCGAAAGUUUAGCCAAACAGACUGGAAAGUCUGACCAGAGAAGGUAAUAGUCCUGUAGGCGAAAAACUGACGGCUCGGUGAACUUUUUUCCCGAGUAACGCGGAACCCGGGAAGGUCCGCGUGAAUCCAGCCCGACCAUGGGCAAAGGCUAAAUAUGUGCUUUCGACCGAUAGUGAACUAGUACCGCGAGGGAAAGGCGAAAAGAACCCCGGAAGGGGAGUGAAAUAGAACCUGAAACCAAACACUUACAACCAGCGGGAGGGCUAUGUCCCAAAGUCGCAAGAUUGCGGGAAACGCCUCACCGCGUGCCUAUUGAAGAAUGAGCUGACGAGUUACGAUGCGCAGCAAGGUUAAGCCGUUUUAAGCGGCGGAGCCGCAGCGAAAGCGAGUCCUAAUCGGGCGUCCAGUUGCGUAGCGUAGACCCGAAGCCGGGUGAUCUACCCUUGGUCAGGAUGAAGUCCUGGUAAUACGGGAUGGAGGUCCGAACCGGUGUUGGUUGAAAACAACUCGGAUGAACGGAGGGUUGGAGUGAAAGGCUAAUCAAACCCGGCGAUAGCUGGUUCUCCCCGAAAUAGCUUUAGGGCUAGCCUUCCGGAAUUAGAGAACGGGGGUAGAGCUACUGGAUGGAUGCGGAAGGGCACCACCCUUCCUAUUCCAACCAAACUCCGAAUACCGUUUUUCUGUACCGGGGGAGUCAGACAGCGGGGGCUAAGCUUCGUUGUCGAAAGGGAAACAGCCCAGACCGCCGACUAAGGUCCCAAAAUACAGGCUAAGUGGUAAAGGAAGUGUGUUCACCCAGACAGCCAGGAGGUUGGCUUAGAAGCAGCCAUCCUUUAAAGAAAGCGUAAUAGCUCACUGGCCGAAUACCCGCAAGGGUGUGAAUGCGCGCCUAAAAUUCAACGGGGCUCAAGCCUGUUACCGAAGUCGCGGAAUAUUGUGUCUUUAAGAGCAACAUUGGUAGGGGAGCAUUCCCUAUGCCUGCGAAGCCUGACCGUGAGGACAGGUGGAGGUAUGGGAAGCGAGUAUGUCAGCAUAAGUAGCGAAAAUCCCGAUGGAAACUCGGGACGCCGAAAGUCUAAGGUUUCCUGGGGAAGGUCAAUCCGCCCAGGGUUAGGCGGUGGCUAAGUCGAGGCCGAAAGGCGUAGAUGAUGCACAGCCGGUUAAUAUUCCGGCCCUGCCGUAACGGCGUUAUCAGCGAUGAGGGGAAGCAGUAAGAUAGACCAUCCGCUUAUUGUAUUGCGGUCUAAGCCGGCUGGGAGUGGUUCUCCGUAAAACCGGAGGACUGUCCCGCAAGGGACAACUCUCGACGGCGAAUGGUGCCCAAGUCCACGGAUGCGGGACACUGGUCGAGUCAAACUGCCAAGAAAAGCCUCUAAGCGAGUCGUUGUGGCAACCGUACCGCAAACCGACACAGGUAGACUGGCAGAACAUGCUAAGGCGCUCGGGAUAAUUCUCGUUAAGGAACUCGGCAAAAUUGCCCCGUAACUUCGGAAGAAGGGGUGCCUGAGUAGUUUUUAGUGUAAACUGGAGACGAAAAGGCCGCAGUGAAAUGGCUCCUGCGACUGUUUAAUAAAAACACAGGUCCCUGCUAAGUCGCAAGACGAUGUAUAGGGACUGACACCUGCCCGGUGCCGGAAGGUUAACGUGAGGGGUUAGGCGCAAGCCGAAGCUCUGAUCUGAAGCCCCGGUAAACGGCGGCCGUAACUAUAACGGUCCUAAGGUUAAUCAUUGAGGAAUAAGUUAGCCUUAGUAAAAUCUAGCUAUAUGCUGGAAAGUCUGGUGUAUCUCACAGUACUUUAAUGUAGUGCGACCCUUUCAGGGUCGCCAGCGAGGCUGAAAGCCUCGCACUACGAAAAUAGAGUGAAAAUCUGAUGAGUGCAGACAAUCAGCAGGAAAGGCUCAACUAUGCUGUGUCAUUCUGACCCUUGAGUGAAACGAAGGGGAAGAAUCUCGUUUUUGGUUGGGCAUCCUCAGAGACUAUACGCUAGAUGUCCCAAGUGGGAUAAAGAUAUAGUCCGUACCUCCUGGCGACAGGAGGAGGUUGACAGAAAUGAUCAACCCGCCACAAAAGAUCGUGGUCUUUAAGUAACAGACUAGAGCGAAAUUCCUUGUCGGGUGAGUUCCGACCUGCACGAAUGGUGUAACGACAGGAGCGCUGUCUCAACGAGAAACCCGGUGAAUUUG